GCGCUUAUUUCUUGGAUAGCAUCGGCAUGAGCAACUUUUUAGUUUGUAAACUAUGAGUUUCUUCAAAUUUCGACCACAUUUGGUUAAGUGUAUGCAUAAACGCUAAGUGUUGUGUUGUACUUUUGUUAUGGCUGUAAAAGAGACAGAGCUGAGACCUCCUGGGACUGCUAAUUCCAGACAUUAGGAUGCUAACAUGGAGGAUUGUGUGUGUUUAUCGCCACACAUAGACAACUUCUAUGUGACAAGGAGGUUGGAAAUGAGGGCUGUAUGAUGAAGCGACUACAACGUCGUAAGUUAACUACGUUUCCUGAAGGUUUCUCUCUUGGCCACGCUGGAGGUUUAGGAAGAGCAUUGCCCCUGUGAUGUGCUCCACCGAUUGCUGAAGGAAGAAAAAGGGCUAACCAGUGACAUUGCACCCUCCACUUUCUCUCCACCACUCAUAAGAUCUGAGGAUUGCACAUUGUGGGCUACUAAAGGAGGACAUCUUCGAGACCAAGACACACUGGCCAGCAGUAACCAAGGGGCUCACCCAGUCAAGAGAAGGCACCGAGGAAGGAGGAAGAAUCGUCAGUACUCCGGCCCACACAGGCAGGGACGAACCCAGACACUGAGAGGGGUCGUUGGUCUGGAGCAAUAAAAAGUCUGCUCAACAUUCAAGUCCAACGCAAACACUUCUGAGUGUUUCAAGAGCAAGAGGAGAGUCUUGACCAGGAGCUUCACCUUUACAAUACAGGGUUAUUUUUCUGUGAAGCAGAAAAAGUGUGUCAGUAUGCAGAACAUCAUUACAUUGUCUUCUUUCUCAACAUUUGCUAAUUAGUUAUAGAUGAAAGACUUCACUUUGUCUUAAUACCCAGCAACUCCCCACCUAAAACCUCACACAAAUACUUUCUGUCAGCAAUGAUGCAUUUAGGCACAUAGACAUGGUCAAGAUGAUCUGCUCAAGUUCAAACAAAGCAUCAGAACAGGGGAGAAAGGUGACUGAAGUGAUGCCAAACGUGCCAUGGUUGUUGGGUUGGGUAUUUAACAAACUGCUGAUCUACUGGGAUUUCCGCUCAACCAUCUCUAGAGUUGUAGUUGGAUGUCAGAAAACAAUGACAAGACUGAUCUGAGCUCAUAGAAAGACAACAGUAACUCAAAUAACCACUAAUAACCAAGGUAUAUGCAGAAAAACAUCUCUGAAUGCACAACGUGUGAAGUAGAUAGAGGAGCAGAAGACCACACAGGGUCCAGUGUUAAUUUUGGCAGCUAUUUUUAAUUUUACUCUUAGUCUUAGUCUUUAGAUGAAAUGUAUUUAGU